GGAUUAGAUACCCUGGUAGUCCACGCUGUAAACGAUGGAUACUAGAUGUUUGGAGAAUUAACCCUCUGAGUGUCGUAGCACACGCGAUAAGUAUCCCGCCUGGGGAGUACGGUCGCAAGACUAAAACUCAAAGGAAUUGACGGGGCCCGCACAAGCGGUGGAGUAUGUGGUUUAAUUCGACGCAACGCGCAGAACCUUACCUGGGUUUGACAUCCCACGACAACUGCAGAGAUGUAGUGUUCCCUUCGGGGACGUGGAGACAAGUGCUGCAUGGCUGUCGUCAGCUCGUGUCG
rnacentral:rRNA from 1 species